GACGAACCGUGCGAACGUUGUUCGGAAUCACUGGGCUUAAAGGGCGCGUAGGCGGGUUCUCAAGUCCGGGGUGAAAUCCCACAGCUCAACUGUGGAACUGCCUCGGAUACUGGGGGCCUCGAGGGUGGUAGGGGUAUGCGGAACUAUCGGUGGAGCGGUGAAAUGCGUUGAUAUCGAUAGGAACUCCGGUGGCGAAGGCGGCAUACUGGACCACAUCUGACGCUGAGGCGCGAAAGCCAGGGGAGCGAACGGG
rnacentral:rRNA from 1 species